rnacentral:lncRNA from 1 species
CCCACUGACAAACUUUGUAACAGGAAUAUGGUCUUACUUAAUUUAUACUAAACCUAGGUACAGUAAAAGUUAUUAUACAAUGUUGAAGUUUCUGUUGUGUCGGAUUCGUUAACCACUGCGCCACAACGGGAACUCCAGAAAAAAAUUUCUUUGCAAUGUUUAUUAGCCACUUAGAGGAGGGAGUUCCCUAGUGGCCUAAGGGUUAAGGAUUCGGCAUGGUCACUGCUAUGGCUCAGGUUCAAUCCCUGGCCUGGGAAUUUACACACACUGUGAGUAUGACCAAAAAAAGUAAGUAGGGAAGUUUUAGGAAGUAGUAAAAGGGUUGGUGGCUUCAGAUUUUUUCUGGAAACACUUCUGGUCCUGUAAAGACCAGAUUUGUAGGAAAAAGGUUUUUCCUCCUCAAAGUAAAAGGACUGACACACUCAUUCAACUAUGUGGGGAUAUUUUACAUUUCAUCAUUUAGCUUAGGGGCGAAGACCUCCCCUCAAAACUGUCAGUCUCCAAAUUUUAGCUGUAGUUAUUUUAGUUAGACGGGUGGCCUCCCAUUUUGGUUAAUCUUACGAACACUUUUGAGGAUCCUCCUUGAGUUGAAGAAAUUACCUGUUUUUCAGUUCAGCCUCUGAUCUAAAGAGGCCUGCCUAGAGCCUCACAGUGUUCCCAUUUCUAAAGGUAACCAUUUAGGGAGUUCCUGCUGUGGCUCAGCAGUAAUGAACCCGACUAGUAUCCAUGAGGACAUAGGUUCAAUCCCUGGCCUUGCUCCAGUGUUGCCAUGGCUGAAGUGUAGGCCGGCAGCUACAACUCCGAUUCAACACCUAGUCUGGGGACUUCCAUUGCCAUAGGUGUGGCCCUAAAAAGCAAAGAAUUUAAAAAAAUAAAGGUAACCAUUUAAUAGUGCCUUUCUUAGUGGGAAAGGCAGUUCAGAAGAUGACUAGAAUGAUUGCUCAUUAAUCAUAAGUCUUCUACAACAAAUUUUUGAAUGAGGCUAUUGGGGAUUUUGAAGUCUUUUGGGGUUUUCAGAUAGCACUUAAAAUUGGCACAAUAGUUUAAGAUGAAACCUCUCUAAAAUUUUUAAUAAUUUAGAUGUUUCUCCAAAGGAUCCAUGGGGCUAGCCCUACAAAUAUUUUUUACUGCUAAUCUAAUUUUAGAAAAAACACCUCUGCUUCCAGUAGAACCUGCGAAUACAGAUCUAGAAGACUGCUAUUUUAACUGCAUGCUAAAAAUUCAGUUUUGGAGUGUCGAAAGAACCUCAAUUUGGCCAUUUCAGGGCCCAAUUUCCUUUAGUUCUCAAAUACGUGCAAGCCUACAUAAACCCAGCUGGUAUUCCCAUAGGUGGCUAUUUGCAUGCGAGCUGUUUGGCCUUUCCCGGUAUUAAUUUUGUAGCUUAAUUCAGGUUGGGGAUAUGGGCUGAACCAUUUUCUGAGGACAGUGUGCUGGAUCACAUGUGUGCUGCUUCGGAGUCUAGGUCCCUAAGGAGUCACAUGGCUCGGUUUCUCCCAGUGACAGCCUAGAACCAU